CUUAAUUAAUUAUUUCCCAGAUGAUGAAUACAUAAGGAUUCGAAAGCUCGUAAUAUAUUAAAGUGAGUACACUUUGGUGUUUAAUUUUACCACACAUAAAAUCAUGGCCACUUUUUCAUAAAAUUAACAAACCUUUUUGUCGAUAACAACAUCCCCAAUGGCUCGCAGCUGUAAGGAGGGGGUUGUAACCACUGACUAGUUUCGACGUUAUUACGUCUAAUUAGAGUGGUUUAACAAUCCUAGUUCGAGCUUGAGAUCUGAAUUGAAAACUUUAAGAGCGUCGCAAUUUGGUUCAUGUAGUUAAAAAUUACGCAUUUUUUGUAUUUUACUGAUUUUUAUUGUUUUUUUUCUUUCAUUUUGGUGGUAUGAUAGCUUAUUUAUUCAUUUCCGGCAAAAACAAACUUUUAUGGAUGAAUUGAGAUUAUGUUAAGAUUAUAUUCGACUAAUUUGUAGGUGUUCAUCAUUAUUUCGAUGUAAUUUAGUUUCUUUUUGUGUUUAUACUGUAAAUAUUUAGAUUAAUUGAAGUGGGGCGUUAAUUUUGUCCAGGAGUUUGACUACAAUGUUGCCAUACAUUUUGCUAUAAAUUUUAUUACUUGAUUCCGGAUGUUUAACGGCUAGAAGUUGAAGUACGUAAACAAUAAGUGAAAAAGGAGGGUGAUAGAGGAAAACUGGAGAGAACAAACGAUUUUUAUUAUAAUCGAAACCGAGUAUUGUAGCAAAUAUACAAACAUAAUUUGCUUAAAGUAUAUUUCCAGUACAUUAGGAAAUUUUUAACCUUAACGACUUCUUAUCGUCGUACUAAUUAGUCGUUGAAGCAUAAAUUAAAUGACAGGCACGUUUGCAACAUUAAGUAAAUAAUAUUAUCAAUUUUUUAACGUCGGUCAACAAAUUCUUGCGUUAAUUUCUGUGUAUAAUCUAAUUAAAAACAAAAUAGUAAAAAAAUGCAUCUAUGGUUCCACCUAUUAACUUUUUCCCAUCACUUUUUCGUAUUAUUAUAUUGCCAUGAGAAUAUGGACACUAAGGAUGUAAAAGAUAGAGAAGUUUUAAUUAUGUUGAAAUAUCGUUUUUUUUAUUUUACAAGUUGGAACUUUUUUAUUCAAAUUGUUUAUUUCGGUUUAGCUAUAUGGUAUGAUGUCUUACUACGAUUACAAUCAAAACAGAAACAACUAGCAACAAUAUUAAAAUGGAAAAGUUAUUUAUACACGAGUAUCAUUUUUCCGUCGGGAUUUUUUGUUCCUGGAAUGUUUUGGGGGUUGUAUAAUAUUGAAAAGGAGUAUGUAUAUCCGAAAAGUUGCGAACUAUAUUUUCCCACGUGGCUAAAUCACUCUUUACACACUGUUACUUGCUUGGUUGUUUUUAUAGAAUCCUUCGUCGUAGA